UGUGAGCUCGAUGAGUAGGGCGGGACACGUGGUAUCCUGUCUGAAUAUGGGGGGACCAUCCUCCAAGGCUAAAUACUCCUGACUGACCGAUAGUGAACCAGUACCGUGAGGGAAAGGCGAAAAGAACCCCGGCGAGGGGAGUGAAAAAGAACCUGAAACCGUGUACGUACAAGCAGUGGGAGCACAGAGCAAUCUGUGUGACUGCGUACCUUUUGUAUAAUGGGUCAGCGACUUAUAUUCUGUAGCAAGGUUAACCGAAUAGGGGAGCCGAAGGGAAACCGAGUCUUAACUGGGCGUUAAGUUGCAGGGUAUAGACCCGAAACCCGGUGAUCUAGCCAUGGGCAGGUUGAAGGUUGGGUAACACUAACUGGAGGACCGAACCGACUAAUGUUGAAAAAUUAGCGGAUGACUUGUGGCUGGGGGUGAAAGGCCAAUCAAACCGGGAGAUAGCUGGUUCUCCCCGAAAGCUAUUUAGGUAGCGCCUCGUGAAUUCAUCUCCGGGGGUAGAGCACUGUUUCGGCAAGGGGGUCAUCCCGACUUACCAACCCGAUGCAAACUGCGAAUACCGGAGAAUGUUAUCACGGGAGACACACGGCGGGUGCUAACGUCCGUCGUGAAGAGGGAAACAACCCAGACCGCCAGCUAAGGUCCCAAAGUCAUGGUUAAGUGGGAAACGAUGUGGGAAGGCCCAGACAGCCAGAAUGUUGGCUUAGAAGCAGCCAUCAUUUAAAGAAAGCGUAAUAGCUCACUGGUCGAGUCGGCCUGCGCGGAAGAUGUAACGGGGCUAAACCAUGCACCGAAGCUGCGGCAGCGACGCUAUGCGUUGUUGGGUAGGGGAGCGUUCUGUAAGCCUGUGAAGGUGUGCUGUGAGGUAUGCUGGAGGUAUCAGAAGUGCGAAUGCUGACAUAAGUAACGAUAAAGCGGGUGAAAAGCCCGCUCGCCGGAAGACC
rnacentral:rRNA from 1 species